GGGUCAGUAGGUUGGUCGUGCCACCGGUACGUACUGGUCUCACUGAUUCCUCCUUCCUGAAGAACCGUAAUGCCAUUAAUUUGGUGUUGCGGGGAAACAGGACUGUUACUUUGAAAAAAUUAGAGUGUUUAAAGCAAGCUAACGCUUGAAUACAUUAGCAUGGAAUAACGAAAUAGGACAAUCGAUCCUAUUUUGUUGGUUUCUAGGAUUGACGUA
rnacentral:rRNA from 1 species